AGAGUUUGAUCCUGGCUCAGAUUGAACGCUGGCGGCAGGCCUAACACAUGCAAGUCGAACGGUAACAGGAAGAAGCUUGCUUCUUUGCUGACGAGUGGCGGACGGGUGAGUAAUGUCUGGGAAACUGCCUGAUGGAGGGGGAUAACUACUGGAAACGGUAGCUAAUACCGCAUAACGUCGCAAAACCAAAGAGGGGGACCUUCGGGCCUCUUGCCAUCAGAUGUGCCCAGAUGGGAUUAGCUAGUAGGUGGGGUAACGGCUCACCUAGGCGACGAUCCCUAGCUGGUCUGAGAGGAUGACCAGCCACACUGGAACUGAGACACGGUCCAGACUCCUACGGGAGGCAGCAGUGGGGAAUAUUGCACAAUGGGCGCAAGCCUGAUGCAGCCAUGCCGCGUGUAUGAAGAAGGCCUUCGGGUUGUAAAGUACUUUCAGCGGGGAGGAAGGGAGUAAAGUUAAUACCUUUGCUCAUUGACGUUACCCGCAGAAGAAGCACCGGCUAACUCCGUGCCAGCAGCCGCGGUAAUACGGAGGGUGCAAGCGUUAAUCGGAAUUACUGGGCGUAAAGCGCACGCAGGCGGUUUGUUAAGUCAGAUGUGAAAUCCCCGGGCUCAACCUGGGAACUGCAUCUGAUACUGGCAAGCUUGAGUCUCGUAGAGGGGGGUAGAAUUCCAGGUGUAGCGGUGAAAUGCGUAGAGAUCUGGAGGAAUACCGGUGGCGAAGGCGGCCCCCUGGACGAAGACUGACGCUCAGGUGCGAAAGCGUGGGGAGCAAACAGGAUUAGAUACCCUGGUAGUCCACGCCGUAAACGAUGUCGACUUGGAGGUUGUGCCCUUGAGGCGUGGCUUCCGGAGCUAACGCGUUAAGUCGACCGCCUGGGGAGUACGGCCGCAAGGUUAAAACUCAAAUGAAUUGACGGGGGCCCGCACAAGCGGUGGAGCAUGUGGUUUAAUUCGAUGCAACGCGAAGAACCUUACCUGGUCUUGACAUCCACGGAAGUUUUCAGAGAUGAGAAUGUGCCUUCGGGAACCGUGAGACAGGUGCUGCAUGGCUGUCGUCAGCUCGUGUUGUGAAAUGUUGGGUUAAGUCCCGCAACGAGCGCAACCC
rnacentral:rRNA from 1 species